CUCAGCUGAAACUGGUUCUACUGCUGGAGCUGCAGUGGAUGGCGCAUCCUAUGUGAAGUUCUCUGAGGCUGGUGUUCAAGCCACCACUUCGACGGCUGAAGCUUCAGUGAACACCACGUCAUUGCUAAAGGACGCUGAAACCCAAACAGAUAUCACAAGCAGUGCAUUAAACAGCUUCGAAGGCGACAACCAGGCCCUACGUGCAGAGCUACACGAAGUGAAGGGCUCUUUGGCGUAGACUUCAGUUGUCUAAAGCUUCAUUGGAGCAAGACGACAACCGUGUAAAAUUUUACACUGGCCUACCAAGCUACACAGUUUUGAUAGCGCUGUUCGCGCUUCUCGAGAGUGGUGUGUCGCACAGCGCAAACAAUGUGCUUACUAAGUUCGAAGAGCUUGUGCUCACACUUGUGAGGCUGCGACUAGGAGUGCCCUUGCAGGACCUGGCGUAUAGAUUUGAGGUCAGCCAAGCCACAGCAACACGAGUAGUCAACCGGUGGAUCGCGGCCAUGCAUGUACGACUAAAACAGCUGGUGGACUGGCCCAGUCGUGAACAAUUGCAGCAGACCAUGCCAAUGGCCUUCAGAAAAGCAUUUGGCACGAGUGUGGCAGUCAUUAUAGACUGCUUCGAGAUAUUCAUUGAGCGCCCUUCGUCAAUGCUCCCUAGGUCACAGACGUGGUCGCGGUAUAAGCACCACAACACGGCAAAAUAUCUGAUAGGAAUAGCACCUCAGGGAGCAAUCACUUUCAUUUCCAAAGGGUGGGGAGGCAGGACAAGCGACAAGCUUAUAACAGAGUCGAGUGGAAUGUUGAACCACCUUCUCCCAGGUGACACGGUGCUCGCCGACAGAGGAUUCACGAUUGGUGAUGCCGUAGGCAUUCAUCGUGCACGCCUUGAGGUUCCUGCAUUCACAAGGGGCAAACCUCAGCUAUCAGCCUGGGAGGUUGAAAAAACUAGGAAAAUUGCGAAUGUGCGCAUCCACGUGGAACGUGUGAUAGGUUUGCUGAGGCGAAAGUACAAAAUUCUUUCAAGCACCAUCCCUAUUGAUCUGCUAGCAGUGCAAAGCGAGGACACUCUAACACAACUUGACAAAAUUGUUGCGGUGUGUGCUGCGCUGACAAAUCUGAGCAAAUCGGUUGUGCCUGUUGACUGAUCUGGAUGCGCCAAAUCUAAAUUUUACUUAAAGGGGUUGAGACACCAAAUUUUGAGGGUAUAAAAGGCCUGCUGCAGGCUUCCUCUGUAUGAAAGGACACUCAACAUGAAGUGUUCGACACAGCAAACG
rnacentral:lncRNA from 1 species